GCUGGUGGCCAUAUCACCCUGAACACACCUGUUCAGAGUCGGGCCUGGUUAGUACUGGGAUGGGAGACCGCCUGGAAAUACCUGGUGCUGUAAGCA
rnacentral:rRNA from 1 species